UACGUAGGUGGCAAGCGUUGUCCGGAUUUAUUGGGUUUAAAGGGUGCGUAGGCGGCUGUUUAAGUCAGUGGUGAAAGCCGAUCGCUUAACGAUCGAACUGCCAUUGAUACUGAAUAGCUUGAGUACAGAUGAGGUAGGCGGAAUUGACAGUGUAGCGGUGAAAUGCAUAGAUAUUGUCAAGAACACCGAUUGCGAAGGCAGCUUACUAAAGUGUCACUGACGCUGAGGCACCAAAGUGCGGGGAUCAAACAGG
rnacentral:rRNA from 1 species